rnacentral:rRNA from 1 species
UCGCCUGUUUUAACAAAAACAUGUCCUUUUGAGUUUUAUUUAAGGUCUGACCUGCCCUAUGAGAAAUUAAAUGGCCGCGGUAUUUUAACCGUGCAAAGGUAGCAUAGUCACUUGUCUCUUAAUUGGAGGCUUGAAUGAAGGGUUGGACGAGAUAUAAACUUUCUUUAUUAUAUUAAGUUGAAUUUGAUUUUUUAGUUAAAAAGCUUAAAUUUAUUUAUAGGACGAGAAGACCCUAUAGAAUUUUAUAUUUUUAUAAUAUUAAUUUAUUUUUUAAUAAUUUGGUUUUUGUUUUGGAAAUAUUUUGUUGGGGCGAUGGGAAGAUAUUUUUAACUCUUUUUAUUUUAAUUCAUUAAUGUAUGUUUAUUUUGAUCCUUUUUUAAAGAUUAUAAGAUUAAAUUACCUUAGGGAUAACAGCGUAAUUCUUUUGGAGAGUUCUUAUCGAUAAAGGAGUUUGCGACCUCGAUGUUGGAUUAAAA